UACGUAGGGUGCAAGCGUUAAUCGGAAUUACUGGGCGUAAAGCGUGCGCAGGCGGUUAUGUAAGACAGGUGUGAAAUCCCCGGGCUUAACCUGGGAACUGCAUUUGUGACUGCAUAGCUAGAGUACGGCAGAGGGGGGUGGAAUUCCGCGUGUAGCAGUGAAAUGCGUAGAUAUGCGGAGGAACACCGAUGGCGAAGGCAAUCCCCUGGGCCUGUACUGACGCUCAUGCACGAAAGCGUGGGGAGCAAACAGG
rnacentral:rRNA from 1 species